CUCACUCAAGCUCUCAUUUCUGUCUUACUAUGUAGUUGCCGACUGGACUCAGGAACCUGGUCACCUGCUGCAUGUUUUCAGUACUUUCUAUGGUAUACCAUCCAAAUUGUGAGAGUGGACCAUGGAGUCAUCCAGCCUCAGCCUCUUGCAUACUGGGAUUACAGGUAUGUACCAUUCCGUGCAGCUCAUACUAUCUUACGUACACCAUGA
rnacentral:lncRNA from 1 species